UUGGGAUGCUUGUGAUCGGUUGCCUGUGUAGUUCUACCCUGUUGUGGGUAGCGAAGUUGUCCCUCGAUUGAUAUUUGCUUGCCUUUCUGACAUUUUUUUGUCGGUUGGGCAGCCGAAAUGAUGGCGAGAUCCUUGUGUAGGUGCGUUUGGUCGAAUGGCCUUGUUGCUAUCGCUUGGAUUUUUGCCGCCUCUCACGGAUACAGUGCCUAUUGCUAGCUCUGCGUGACUUUACUCCGCAGACUUCGGGAGGUCCCUUGUACGAAUCAUUGCGACGUGGGCGCCGUUUGUCGUGUUGCUUGUUUGGCACGCAAAUCGUAUUGUUCUGUCUGGAGUCGGGAUGACGAAGGGCAAGAAUGAAGUGUCCGGGGUGUGAUUGCGUACAUGGGAAAGCCUCUCCGAUCGUAUGAGCAGCGAUUUCCGGCUUGCGUCAUGCGAAGGCGCUGCCCGUUCGGGUUGGUGCCGGAGCUGACGCGCCGGCUCUCGUGUAAGACGUGC
rnacentral:misc_RNA from 1 species